CUAUAUUUUACUUCCUCAUCUAUUUAUUUCUUAGAGUUUAUUCUUCAACUACUAUCUGGUCUACAUUUCUACUCACCAGCUGCUGAAAUGAAGAAACUGGUUUUUAAAUUAGAGAUAUAUGAUGACAGAGACAAACAAAAAGCAUUGAAAGUAGUAUCAGCUCUCCCAGGUACUAGUUUGACUGAUCAAUUUUUUCUUCCUCCUUUUAUUUGAUGUUUUUUUAAAAAAAAAAGUCAAACGGAUUUGAUUCAUCAAUUUCAUUAUUUGUUUUGUUUUGUUUAUUUUAUUUGAGAAAUUAACUAAAUUAAAAUAGCUGGUAGAUAUAUAUAAGGGCGGCAAGUGGGCCAGUCCUGGACCGGCACUGCCCUGGACCGUGGUCCAAACGGGCUAGGACGAACCGAUAUAUGUAGGCCUGGGCCGGUCUCAUGGCCCUGGGCCAAACGGGCCAUACAUAACUAAUGUAUAAUAUAUGUAUAUUGGCUAACGGGUGUUUAGACCAGGUGGGUUGCUCUGAUGGUAAGCACCCUCCACUUCCAAUCAAGAGGCUGUGAGUUCGAGUCACCCCAAGAGCAAGGUAAGAAGUUCUUGAAGGGAAUGAUGCUGAGGGUCUAUGGAAACAACCUCUCUACCCUAGGGUAGAGGUAAUGUCUGCGUACACACUAUCCUCCCUAGACCCCACUUAUCCUCCCUAGACCCCACUUGUGAGAUUAUAUUGGGUUGUUAUUGUUGUUGUUGGCUAACGGGUGUAAAUAUUUUUGGCUAAGCGGAAAAUAUGUUAAAAACCUUUUAUUUUGCAGGGUAGAAUCUAUUGCAAUUGAUAUGAGAGAGAAGACAUUAACAGUGAUAGGAUAUGUUGAUCCAGUUAAUGUUUUGGGGAAAUUAAGAAAAAAUUGGUAUGCUGAUUUAUUAAGUGUAGGACCAGCAAAAGAAGAUGAUGAUGAAAAGGAAGAUGAGAAAAAGGA